rnacentral:rRNA from 1 species
UACGGGGGGGGCAAGCGUUGUUCGGAAUUACUGGGCGUAAAGGGCUCGUAGGCGGCCAACUAAGUCAGACGUGAAAUCCCUCGGCUUAACCGGGGAACUGCAUCUGAUACUGGAUGGCUUGAGGUUGGGAGAGGGAUGCGGAAUUCCAGGUGUAGCGGUGAAAUGCGUAGAUAUCUGGAGGAACACCGGUGGCGAAGGCGACAUCCUGGACCGGUAUUGACGCUGAGGCGCGAAAGCCAGGGGAGCAAACGGG